UCCGGUUUAACACCGGCAGUCUCGCUAAAGUGCCCGACUUUACUCGCUGGCAACUAGCGACAAGGGUUUCGCUCGUUAAGGGACUUAACCCGACAUCUCACGACACGAGCUGACGACAGCCAUGCAGCACCUGUGCUAGUUCCACGGCAAGCCGCGUCAUUCCGCUUUCACGGAACUAAUCCUAGCAUGUCAAACCUGGGUAAGGUUCUUCGCGUUGCUUCGAAUUGAGCCACAUCCUCCACCGCUUGUGUGAGCCCCCGUCAAUUCCUUUGAGUUUUAGCCUUGCGGCCGUACUUCCCAGGCGGCGCACUUAACGCUUUUGUUUCGGCUCUCCGACCGUCAGAGGUCUAAAAGCCUAGUGCGCAUCGUUUACGGCGUAGACUA
rnacentral:misc_RNA from 1 species